rnacentral:tRNA from 1 species
GCGGACGUGGCGGAAUUGGUAGACGCGCUAGCUUGAGGGGCUAGUGGGAGUUAUCUCGUGGAGGUUCGAAUCCUCUCGUCCGCACCA